rnacentral:rRNA from 1 species
AUUGAACGCUGGCGGCAGGCCUAACACAUGCAAGUCGAACGGAGCGGCGGACGGGUGAGUAAUGUAUGGGGAUCUGCCUGAUGGAGGGGGAUAACGACCGGAAACUGGCGCUAAUACCGCAUACAAUCAGAUGAGCCCAGGUCGGAUUAGCUAGUUGGUGGGGUAAAGGCCUACCAAGGCGACGAUCUGUAACUGGUCUGAGAGGAUGAUCAGUCACACUGGAACUGAGACACGGUCCAGACUCCUACGGGAGGCAGCAGUGGGGAAUAUUGGACAAUGGGCGAAAGCCUGAUCCAGCCAUGCCGCGUGUGUGAAGAAGGUCUUCGGAUUGUAAAGCACUUUAAGUUGGGAGGCGUUACCAACAGAAUAAGCACCGGCUAACUUCGUGCCAGCAGCCGCGGUAAUAC